rnacentral:snRNA from 1 species
AUACUUACCUGGCAGGGAAAUACCAUGAUCACGAAGGUGGUUUUCCCAGGGCCAGGCUUAUCCGUUACACUCUGGAUGUGCUGACCCCUGCGAUUUCCCCAAAUGUGGGAAACUCGACUGCAUAAUUUGUGGUAGUGGGGGACUGCGUUCACGCUCUCCCCUG